rnacentral:rRNA from 1 species
GACGAACGCUGGCGGCGUGCUUAACACAUGCAAGUCGAACGGAAAGGCCCUGCUUUUGUGGGGUGCUCGAGUGGCGAACGGGUGAGUAACACGUGAGUAACCUGCCCUUGACUUUGGGAUAACUUCAGGAAACUGGGGCUAAUACCGGAUAGGAGCUCCUGCUGCAUGGUGGGGGUUGGAAAGUUUCGGCGGUUGGGGAUGGACUCGCGGCUUAUCAGCUUGUUGGUGGGGUAGUGGCUUACCAAGGCUUCGACGGGUAGCCGGCCUGAGAGGGUGACCGGCCACAUUGGGACUGAGAUACGGCCCAGACUCCUACGGGGGGCAGCAGUGGGGAAUAUUGCACAAUGGGCGGAAGCCUGAUGCAGCAACGCCGCGUGCGGGAUGACGGCCUUCGGGUUGUAAACCGCUUUCGCCUGUGACGAAGCGUGAGUGACGGUAAUGGGUAAAGAAGCACCGGCUAACUACGUG